rnacentral:rRNA from 1 species
GCCCCGGCUAACUACGUGCCAGCAGCCGCGGUAAUACGUAGGGGGCGAGCGUUGUCCGGAAUGAUUGGGUGUAAAGGGUACGCAGGCGGUCUAUUAAGUUUGGCGUGAAAGCCCGGGGCUUAACUCCGGCAAGCGUUGAAAACUGGAGGGCUUGAGUGAUGGAAGGGACAGUGGAAUUCCUGGUGUAGUGGUGAAAUGCGCAGAGAUCAGGAAGAAUACCAGUGGCGAAGGCGACUGUCUGGACAUUAACUGACGCUGAGGUACGAAAGCGUGGGGAGCAAACAGGAUCAGAUACCCUGGUAGUCCACGCUGUAAACGAUGAGUGCAAGGUGUUGGGGGUCAAACCUCGGUGCCGCCGUUAACACAGUAAGCACUCCGCCUGGGGAGUACGUACGCA